CAGUCGCCGCGGUAAUACGAAGGGUGCAAGCGUUAAUCGGAAUUACUGGGCGUAAAGCGUGCGUAGGCGGUGAGUUAAGUCUGCUGUGAAAUCCCCGGGCUCAACCUGGGAAUGGCAGUGGAUACUGGCUCGCUAGAGUGUGUCAGAGGAUGGUGGAAUUCCCGGUGUAGCGGUGAAAUGCGUAGAGAUCGGGAGGAACAUCAGUGGCGAAGGCGGCCAUCUGGGACAACACUGACGCUGAGGCACGAAAGCGUGGGGAGCAAACAGGAUUAGAUACCCCCGUAGUCCCUGUCUCUUAUAC
rnacentral:rRNA from 1 species